UUGCUGGAAAUGCCUGAGUGCAAUAUAAAAAGCAUUGGUGCUGCCGCUAACCUUUCACAAGAUGUUUAACGUUUAAAGAUUCGAAGAGAAAUGUGGACGUUUCAGAAUGUGAGAUUUUAGCGACAGCCGUGACAGAAGUUUAGGUUACAACGCGAAGCCAAAGUGAUAUGAGUGCCCUCCUGAAACAACAAGUCCUUUAUUAAGGUCUCAGCGUGGCUUGGUCCCUGGAGGGUUGGACCUCGGGAUUCCACUGUUGUUUAUAAGCCUUGGUGUUCGUGUGAAUGUGGGUGCAUAUGUCAAAGACAGAGAUGUACAGCUGCCCCGUUGUCCACUUCCACACAAACUCAUCUCAGCUGUUGAAAAUCAUCACCCGGUGUCAUCGGAAAGACGCUCUGGCACACAGGCGCGCUCUUACAAAAGGACCACAUAUGGACAGACCACCAGGAUCUCCCACUCCCGAAGGCAAAUAUAAAGAAAAAUGAUUGAGAGGAUCAUAUUUGCAUUCCGCAUUAAAAGAAGCAUUGGUUCUGAUGGAUUCUGUUUGGCUAAAAGACAGACAUGAAGUUGAAGAUUGUCGGUUUGAAAGGUUUUCUGUUUUUGCAGAGCCAAAAUCAUUCACGCUUUACUUCUGUUCCCACACAUUUUCUCAUUUUACAACUGCAAACUGUAGUUUAUUGAGAUUUUAUCUGAUAGACAAAUACAAAGUAUGAAUGAAAAGGUGUUUUUCAAUUUUUUUACCAAUACAAAUCUGAAUAGUGUGCCAUGCCUUUGUAUUCAGCCCCUUCUGAGUCAAUUAGUUAAACAUCUUUUGCUGAAAUUAUGACCAAUCUUUUGUGAUAUGUCUUCUCCAGCUUUUCACAUCUAGAAGAUGAAAUGUUUCUUCUGCUUUGCAAAAAUACAAUAGUUCCAGC